rnacentral:lncRNA from 1 species
AUUUAUAGGGAGAAGUUACUUUUGAUAUUAUUACUACUACUACUAUUAUUAGCUGAUCAAUGCUAUGACUUCCUGAAAUUUCUUUUUGAUAAGCUUUAAAAAAGAGCCAUGCAGCCAUAUAGCAAGUCUAGAAGCCAUGCAGGGGAGGCUGGUGAGUGUCUCUUCCUCUAAGCCCCGUGUGUGACAAAGCAGCACUCCAGGGAGGAACUGACAGGUGCUGCAUAUGUCUGUGUAUGUACACACACACACACACACACACACACACACACACACACAUUUGGACUGGCCUGAAGUUACAUUUCUGAGUGUCUGCAUUUUUAAAACUGAACUUUAAUUGGCUCCAGGAUGGUCAUCGCCAUGCCCCAGAUCUUGGAAAACAAUAUUGCUUCUACCUGCUUAUUCCCUUCCCCAGACCUGGGAGCCAGGCUCCAAUGCCUGCCACCCGCUAGGAAAGGUUGACUGGAACCUUCUCUUGAACUCAGGCUUUCUAAUUAAUCAUAUGCUUCUUUGGUCUGGGUAGAAUAAAGCAUUGCACUUUCCCAGAAGGGUGUUUCGGGCCGACAGGCCCUCUGAGUAUUUCUGGCAGCAAGCAGGAGGUUUCCUCAGCAGGCUCAGGGAAGGGAGAUGCCAGGGUGAAGGACUGCUGGGUGACAGCUAGAAAGUGGGGGGUCCUCAUCAUGGCCGCUGCCUGUGUGAUCUCUGUCUUAGCUUGCCUAUUUUGUCUGCUCAUGGACAGGAGUUAAAAUGAAGCAACUGUCUAGAAAGGUUUUGGGGAGAGCAGUUGAAUGCCAGGGCAGGAUUUGAAGGUUUUCACGUGCUUUUUUCUUUUUUAGCACAGAUGUCUCUCCUCCAGAGUGAGUUAUGGCAUCUCUUGAAUACUUGGGGCUGUGUGCGUGCAUUUUCUCUUUAAAUCCUCUAGUCUGAGGAAAGAGCUCUCAUACAGGCCAAGAGGGGGCUGCUAAGUGAGGGUGUGCCUAGGUGGUCUUACUGGGUGUGCUAGAAACAUGCUCUCCUGAGGCUGGUGUGAGGUGACUCAGAGUAAGCAGGGGCCCCUCAGCAGGGAUGUUCCCUUUAGGUGGAGUGAGGUGCUGUCUCACUCCAUGCAUAGGAGUUUCUAUGUAACAGUUUAUAUAUAGUCAGCGAAUUCCUGCAUCUCACCACUAGCUCUCUUUCUUGAGAGAAAUGCAAGUGUGUGUACAGGGAUUUAAGAGACAUGGCUGCCAGUUCAGAAUGCUUGUGCACAAUUUCUGUAACAGGUAGAUAGUAAAAGGCCCCCUCCAUUUUAGGGACCAGGUCACAGACAUAUCCUUCAGCAGCUCAGUCAUGCCCAGUUAGCCCUGAGAGAAGCCAAUCUGCCUUUGUAGGCUGGCAGGGAGUAGGGGCGAGAUGGCGCCUGUGUAAGAAGCGGCUGUUGGCUCAGUCCCACAUAUUUCUUAUAGUGGUAAGAUGGGAUCCUCUGCUGUCUGUUGACUGAGUACUGCCAAGAGCUAGACACCUCAAAGGCACAGUGUGCACAGUUCGCAGAGGAAGAAAGAUGGUGUGGGGAACAGGAAGCACAAGUGUGUCUUUAUGGGAGUUGACAUACAGUGUUGGAGGGGACCUGCUGUGUGUGUGUGUGUGUGUGUAUGCGUGUGUGUGUGAG